GACGAACGCUGGCGGCAUGCCUAACACAUGCAAGUCGAACGGAGUUUCUUAAAUGGAUUUCUUCGGAAUGAAGCUUUUGAAACUUAGUGGCGGACGGGUGAGUAACGCGUGGGUAACCUGCCCUUUUGUGGGGAACAACUUCGAGAAAUCGGAGCUAAUACCGCAUAUACUUACGGAAUCGCAUGAUUCUGUAAGGAAAGAUGGCCUCUGAAAAUGCUAUCGCAAAAGGAUGGACCCGCGUCUGAUUAGCUAGUUGGUGAGGUAACGGCCCACCAAGGCGACGAUCAGUAGCCGGACUGAGAGGUUGACCGGCCACAUUGGGACUGAGAUACGGCCCAGACUCCUACGGGAGGCAGCAGUGGGGAAUAUUGGGCAAUGGGCGCAAGCCUGACCCAGCAACGCCGCGUGAAGGAAGAAGGCUUUCGGGUUGUAAACUUCUUUGUCUAGGGAAGAGCAGAAGACGGUACCUGACGAAUAAGCCACGGCUAACUACGUAG
rnacentral:rRNA from 1 species